CCUACGGGGGGCUGCAGUAGGGAAUCUUCCGCAAUGGGCGAAAGUCUGACGGAGCAACGCCGCGUGAGCGAAGAAGGCCUUCGGGUCGUAAAGCUCUGUUGUUAGGGAAGAACAAGUAAGGCAGUAACUGGCGUUACCGUGACGGUACCUGACGAGAAAGCCACGGCUAACUAACUGACAGCAGCCGCGGUAAUACGUAGGUGGCAAGCGUUGUCCGGAAUUAGUGGGCGUAAAGCGCGGGCAGGCGGUCUUUUAAGUCUGAUGUGAAAUCUUGCGGCUCAACCGCAAGCGGUCAUUGGAAACUGGGAGACUUGAGUGCAGAAGAGGAGAGCGGAAUUCCACGUGUAGCGGUGAAAUGCGUAGAGAUGUGGAGGUACACCAGUGGCGAAGGCGGCUUUCUGGUCUGUAACUGACGCUGAGGCGCGAAAGCGUGGGGAGCAAACAGGAUUAGAUACCCCAGUAGUC
rnacentral:rRNA from 1 species